AGAGUCAUUGGAUGUUGGCCUAGUUCUGUGUGGAAGACUAGUGAUUUUGUUGUUUUUAGAUAACUAAGACGACAACAAAUCACAGUCUGCCAUAUGGCACAGGCCACCUCUACAGGACAGACAA
rnacentral:pre_miRNA from 14 species